AUUGAACGCUGGCGGCAGGCCUAACACAUGCAAGUCGAACGAGUGGCGGACGGGUGAGUAAUGUCUGGGAAACUGCCCGAUGGAGGGGGAUAACUACUGGAAACGGUAGCUAAUACCGCAUACCAUCGGAUGUGCCCAGAUGGGAGUAGCUAGUAGGUGGGGUAACGGCUCACCUAGGCGACGCGCCCUAGCUGGUCUGAGAGGAGGACCAGCCACACUGGAACUGAGACACGGUCCAGACUCCUACGGGAGGCAGCAGUGGGGAAUAGUGCACAAUGGGCGCAAGCCUGAUGCAGCCAUGCCGCGUGGAGGAAGAAGGCCUGCGGGUUGUAAAGUACUUUCAGCGAGGAGGCGUUACUCGCAGAAGAAGCACCGGCUAACUCCGUGCCAGCAGCCGCGGUAAUAC
rnacentral:rRNA from 1 species